CCGCUUGUCCCUUUCAGGGGGUGCUGGAGCCUAUCUCAGCUGCAUUUGGGCUUACAGUCGUAAACAGGUUUUUUAAAAUGCUCUAGUUAUGAAAAUAGUACAUUUCAAUAAACCCUGAUAAACGAUGGGCGACUGUGUGGGAAAACUUGUUGUCAUGUGACCAAAAUACCAGGAUGUUCCUCAAAAUGGCGGCUUGUCAGGUAAACAGGUGUAAAGGUACUUGCUGAUUUCCUAGUGUGGGCCACUGAAGCUACUUCCUGGCUGACCCACUUCCAGCACUAGCACAGGAGGGGGGCCCUGCGGACCCCAGAAAGAGGCCACCCUGACAGCCUGUCUAACUGCUCCACUGAGGGUGAGGUCAGCUCCCAAUACUACGUUGUUACUGAUCCAGCUGGCCGCACGUCGUCCACCCCAGGAACGGGUCAAGGGCCCAACUUUUAAGUGCGGGAGGAAACCCGACAAAGACAGAUCUGAGGCAAGAUUCAAAACCAAAAGCCACUUUCCACUGAAUGACAACACGAAGGAUCCAUUUCUGUUGCCAAUAUUUUGCCGCCAUUGAAGCACACAAGGUGACAAAGCACACAGCAGAGCAUGAAGCCCUGCUGGACACAUUCAGCCUGGUUGACCCAGAAAUGCUCAUGCAGGCGGUAACAACAACACUCAAGUCAUCCACUUGCUCCCUUGACCCAACACCAACUCCUCUUGAAAGAAGCGUUUUAACUCCGUGCCCGAGGACGUCCUUGCAUCUUUUAUUCGCUCGACUCAGCCAGGCGUGUUCCGCCUCACAUUCAUAACGGGUUCUGAGAGAUGUGUUAUACUGGACUAAAGUUGUCCCGAUACCAAUAUUUUGGUGCCGCACCGGUACCAAAAUGUAUUUUGAUACUUUUCAAAAUAAAGGGGGCUACAAAAAAUGUCAAUAUUGGCUUUAUUUUAACAGAAAAUGUUAUGAUACACUAAACAUACAUUUUAUAUUGCAGUCAAAUAACAAUUUUGGCAUUAAAUAAGAUGGUAAACAUACUAGAGAAUUGAUAUUUUAAUAGUAAGUAAGCAAACAAAAGCUCCUAAUUUGUCUGCUGAUGAAUGCAAUAACAUAUUGUGUCAUUUCCGAUUUG